GGACGAUGGAAUUGUGAGCAACCACCAGCCUUAUCAGACGAUGAUCCAGUGUUUGAUGCAUUGGGUGAAGCAAUGAUGAAGCAGUUUACGCAGAAUGGGACUCUUGUAGCCGGAAUCCAUGAGUUGUCGGAAAUAAAUUGGUUUGCUGUAAAUUAUAAGGCUGUCAGGAUAACCAUAAUGCAUCUUGUUUUUGAAAGAAAUCACCCAUCUCAAAUUUAUUCAAUUAGGAUGAGUAUCCUGGGACCUGCGAUAUGAGCCUCCUCUUUUUAUUAAUGGCGUCAGUCUGUUUUUUUGUAGACUUUUAUUUGGGGAAUCAUGUAUAGCUUUAAUUUUGGAGACUACCUUCGUAAUAUAUAGCUGCUCAACAAAAUAUUGUUAGUUGCUUUUCA